UCCUGAAUUGCUCAGUUGGUCGAGCAUGAGACUCCUAAUCUCAGGGUCUUGGAUUCGAGUCCCACAUUGGGCA